rnacentral:tRNA from 1 species
GAACGCGUGGCCUACUGGAUAAGGCCCUGGCCUCCGAAGCGGGAGAUUGUGGGAUCGUGUCCCAUCGCGAUCG